AUACGAAGGGGGCUAGCGUUGUUCGGAAUCACUGGGCGUAAAGCGCGCGUAGGUGGAUCAAUUAGUUGAGGGUGAAAUCCCGGGGCUCAACCUCGGAACUGCCUUCAAUACUGUCGAUCUUGAGACCGAGAGAGGUGAGUGGAAUUCCUAGUGUAGAGGUGAAAUUCGUAGAUAUUAGGAAGAACACCAGUGGCGAAGGCGGCUCACUGGCUCGGUACUGACGCUGAGGUGCGAAAGCGUGGGGAGCAAACAGGAUUAGAUACCCCAGUAGUCC
rnacentral:rRNA from 1 species